AGAGUUUGAUCCUGGCUCAGGAUGAACGCUAGCGACAGGCUUAACACAUGCAAGUCGAGGGGCAGCGGGGGUAGCAAUACCCGCCGGCGACCGGCGCACGGGUGAGUAACGCGUAUGCAACUUACCUAUCAGAGGGGGAUAACCCGGCGAAAGUCGGACUAAUACCGCAUGAAGCAGGGGCCCCGCAUGGGGAUAUUUGCUAAAGAUUCAUCGCUGAUAGAUAGGCAUGCGUUCCAUUAGGCAGUUGGCGGGGUAACGGCCCACCAAACCGACGAUGGAUAGGGGUUCUGAGAGGAAGGUCCCCCACAUUGGUACUGAGACACGGACCAAACUCCUACGGGAGGCAGCAGUGAGGAAUAUUGGUCAAUGGGCGUAAGCCUGAACCAGCCAAGUCGCGUGAGGGAUGAAGGUUCUAUGGAUCGUAAACCUCUUUUAUAAGGGAAUAAAGUGCGGGACGUGUCCCGUUUUGUAUGUACCUUAUGAAUAAGGAUCGGCUAACUCCGUGCCAGCAGCCGCGGUAAUACGGAGGAUCCGAGCGUUAUCCGGAUUUAUUGGGUUUAAAGGGAGCGUAGGCGGGUUGUUAAGUCAGUUGUGAAAGUUUGCGGCUCAACCGUAAAAUUGCAGUUGAUACUGGCGACCUUGAGUGCAACAGAGGUAGGCGGAAUUCGUGGUGUAGCGGUGAAAUGCUUAGAUAUCACGAAGAACUCCGAUUGCGAAGGCAGCUUACUGGAUUGUAACUGACGCUGAUGCUCGAAAGUGUGGGUAUCAAACAGGAUUAGAUACCCUGGUAGUCCACACAGUAAACGAUGAAUACUCGCUGUUUGCGAUAUACAGUAAGCGGCCAAGCGAAAGCGUUAAGUAUUCCACCUGGGGAGUACGCCGGCAACGGUGAAACUCAAAGGAAUUGACGGGGGCCCGCACAAGCGGAGGAACAUGU
rnacentral:rRNA from 1 species